AGAAUUAAAAGGUGGGGAUAAAAGGGGAUAUAUACACACACAAUAUUAAAAAAAAAAAAAAAAAAAAAAAAAAAAGGUUCUCCCAGGGCGAGGCUCAUCCAUUGCACUCCGGGUGUGCUGACACCUGCGAUUUCCCCAAAUGCGGGAAACUCGACUGCAUAAUUUGUGGUAGUGGGGGACUGCGUUCGCGCUUUCCCCAG
ensembl:snRNA U1 U1 spliceosomal RNA